AUCAGCUUGUUGGUGAGGGUAACGGCCCACCAAGGCGACAACGGGUAGCUGGUCUGAGAGGAUGGUCAGCCACACUGGAACUGAGACACGGUCCAGACACCUACGGGUGGCAGCAGUCGAGAAUCAUUCGCAAUGGGGGAAACCCUGACGAUGCGACGCCGCGUGGAGGAUGAAGGCCUUAGGGUUGUAAACUCCUGUCAAGAGGGAAUAAGCAAGUGAAGGUACCUCUAGAGGAAGGGGCGGCUAAUUCCGUGCCAGCAGCCGCGGUAACACGGAAGCCCCGAGCGUUGUUCGGAUUCAUUGGGCGUAAAGGGUGCGUAGGCGGCGCGGAAAGUCCGGCGUGAAAGGCAGGGGCUCAACCUCUGGACUGCGUUGGAUACUUCCGUGCUUGAGGACUGGAGGGGAGACUGGAAUUCACGGUGUAGCAGUGAAAUGCGUAGAUAUCGUGAGGAAGACCGGUGGCGAAGGCGAGUCUCUGGACAGAUCCUGACGCUGAGGCACGAAGGCUGGGGGAGCGAACAGGAUUAGAUACCCUGGUAGUCCCAGCAGUAAACGAUGUGAGCUUGAUGUGGGGGGAUUCGACCCCUUCCGUGUCGAAGCUAACGCGAUAAGCUCACCGCCUGAGGAGUACGGCCGCAAGGCUAAAACUCAAAGAAAUUGACGGGGACCCGCACAAGCGGUGGAGUAUGUGGCUUAAUUCGAUGCAACGCGAAGAACCUUACCUGGCCUUGACAUGCAUUGUGUCGUCGGUGAAAGCCGGCUAGUCCUGGAAACAGGACGCUUUGCACAGGUGCUGCAUGGCUGUCGUCAGCUCGUGUCGUGAGAUGUUGGGUUAAGUCCCGCAACGAGCGCAACCCUUGUGGUCAGUUACUAACCGGCUUAGCCGGAGGACUCUGGCCAGACUGCCCUGUCAAACGGGGAGGAAGCUGGGGACGACGUCAAGUCAGUAUGGCCCUUAUGGCCAGGGCUGCACACGUACUACAAUGCCCGGUACAAUGUGAACCGAAACCGCGAGGUGGAGGAAAUCGCUCUUGAAAACCGGGCCCAGUUCGGAUUGGAGUCUGCAACUCGA
rnacentral:rRNA from 1 species